UCCGGGUACAUUAUCACUCAGCUGUUGAGCCAUUUGGCAACUCUCAUAGGAAUGAACGGGGCCUCGCCUCCAACGCUGUAUCCACAUCUCUUUAUACAUCCACGGGGAAGAGCUCCCGCUCUCUAUUUAGAUAUAAACGGACAUUAUAAGGCAACGAAAACACAACGAUUCUUAUUUUCAGGUGAUUAAACACUAAAGAAAACAUAAUUUUUAAAAUUGUAUAUUCCAUUCUGCCAAUAGAUCCUCCUAAUUGUUACACGCUGGCCCUUUAAUAGGUAUUUUUCGUUGUGUGUGCGCCACCACGUUUCGUCUGAUGCCAGUGAGUUACCAGGUGUUUGUGUGUGUGUGUGUGUGUGUGUGUAGAUCUGUCUGUCUGCAUUUGGUGCACGUCCGUUUGUGCGUCGGCAUGUGUUUGUGUGUCUCGCGAGGGUGAUGUGGCAUGGAGGUCACUUCUGUCAGAUCCAACGUCCAGGCCCAUGCUGUGAUGUGAAGGGCACUGUCAAGAGACAACCACGAGGCAGCACAGGUACAGCUGGCCUCAGUGCUCUUUUUCCUUUGUGGCACGCACACACACACACACAUAGGCUGGGACAAACAUGCUUCGUGUAAAGCGACACACGGUGGUGGGAAAGCCCCCCCCCCCAGGGAGAAAGCCCCAGGAUUGUAGAGUCUCUUCAAAACAAACGCUACCACCUACUUGUUGACAAUCUGCUCGCUGGUGACCAGCUACGUGACGCAUCGUGUAACUGGGAGGAUGGGAGCUCUGGCAUAUUUGUGGCUUAGCUGGGAGGAUAGGAGCCUCAUACAGAAGAUGUUUAGAGCCACGUACUGAACUUGGAAGAGUAAAGGUUGGAAUACAACAACAACCUGUGGGUGGAUAAGUCCGAAUUUGAAACAUAGAUGCUGGAGUUUCGGUCGGAUGACCUCUUGAGAGUCCAGUUGUGUUUGUAACAUUUGAAAAUCUGCCAAAGAAAGAUGAUGAUAAUGUAAAAAAAUGUUUUUACAGAAAGUAGAAGUUUAUAGUCUGUCAGUCUGUCAG